rnacentral:rRNA from 1 species
UACGAAGGGUGCAAGCGUUAUUCGGAAUUACUGGGCGUAAAGCGUGUGCAGGUGGUUCGUUAAGUCUGCUGUGAAAGCCCCGGGCUCAACCUGGGAAUGGCAGUGGAUACUGGCGAGCUGGAGUGCGGGAGAGGGUAGUGGAAUUCCCGGUGUAGCGGUGAAAUGCGUAGAGAUCGGGAGGAACACCAGUGGCGAAGGCGGCUACCUGGACCAGCACUGACACUCAGACACGAAAGCGUGGGGAGCAAACAGG